UGGCUGCGGUUAUGCGCGCAUUUAAAUUUAACUAGGAGAAAUAGUUUGCAACAAUUUACAGUUUUAGAUUUCUUGGUAGUCAUUUUGCGCGCCAUAGUUUAAGGUAUCGGUUUAAGUUUAAAGUAAACAUAAAAAUUGCUUAUCAUUAGAGGGGACAGUUAUAAGUGGAUUUUAGAGUAAUAUGUAAGUUGAUUUGCAUUAGACAGGCGUUGGCGUGGUGUCCAGCGAUGAGACUAUAAUUGACGGCGGCGACGAAAGUUGGUUACUAUCAUCCGACGAGAUAGAUAGUACUGUUGCCCAUCCUUCAUUUAUGUCUCCAUUAUGGCCGUCCAUUUUGUUGUUGCGUUUCGUGUUUUUCACUUUAAAUAGCUGCUGCACAGGCGCCACUGCCGGGUUAAAAAAGCUACUGACUUGCCGAUUUGUGUUCGGAGCGAAGGCGGGCUGUUGGACUUCGAUAAAUCGACAGGAAAAACACGGCUGGUACUCGAUGUUAUAGUAUUUUUAACCGCCUGAUUGUUAUCGAUAUCCCGCGAAGCUUUUACCGGCAUCGGUAGCUGGUCUCACACUCCGAUUUAAAUUUGGAGCGUUGGCGGGCUGUUUGACUUCGAUUAAUCGGUAGGGAAAAAGAACAUGGUUGGUACUCGAUGUUCUAAUAUUUUUACCGCCAAAUUGUUAUCGAUAUACCGCGAAGCUUUUAACGGCUUCGGUAUCUGGUCUCACACUCCGAUUUAUGUUUUGAGCGUUGGCGGGCUAUUGGGCUUCGAUAUAUCGGCAGGAAAAACAUGUCUGGUACUCGAUGUUCUAGCAUUUUAACCGCCGAAUUGUUAUCGAUGUCCCGCGACGCGUUUCCCGGUAUUGUUGGCAUUAUCGGUAGCUGGUCCCACAACUCCUAGGCAAGAAGCGUGUGUAAAUUGUUGUCGUUGCUCACAACGCCGCUGCGGAGAUGCCAGCAUAUAACAGGCAACGGCCCAUCCGGACCGUCAACCCCAAUGCAUGCAUUCCAACUGUGGCUGGCGAAAAGCAUGCGGCGCAGUGUGACGUCAUCAACAGGAAGAAGCCGGUUGGCCAUCGGAUUGUCGAAUCAUUUGCCGGUCCAAUACGGUUUGGGCAGGGGCCAAGCUAGGAGUAUGCCAUCUGGCAGCUGCGGCAAAACAUUGCCUUCUGCUAAUUCCGCCGUUGCUGUUUUAGCUGCUAGUGAGUGUGUCACCGCCUACAUGAGCCCGAAGAGCCGAGGGCUGGCGCCAGUUUGCAUUUAUGAGCCGCUGCCGUUGCUGCUGCAGGCAUCGGAGAGGUGGGCAGCGUAGGCCUGCUUCCAUCUUCAGGCUGCUGUCCGUCGGAUGACCGUCGUCUUCUCCAUCUAACAAGCCCCUGUUACCGGCCAGGGCCAGGCGAGGAGUACGGGACGUCUGAAAGUGCCGAUGGUUUUUGCUGAGGAUCCAUUUCCUGCUAACGGUGCCGCUGGUGUUGUUGCUGCUGUUGCUGGGUGACAAGCCACUGUUUGCUGGCACGUGAUGAUUGACCAGGUGCCAAGAAGAAGUCAAGUCGCAGGGAAUUGUCAAAGGCCAAAAACACCCUCUGCUGCCGAUGCUGAGGGCAUCGGUGCUGAUGUUGCUGCUGCUGCACAGUGAGUCGUUCAGGAUUUACUGUUCUAAUUGCAUGGCAAGCCUGUUGCCGCCGGCCGAAAGGACGCGCAUAGGUGUCUCCAGUGUCUUCGCCCAGGCCUUCAGCCGGCUCCUGCCAAGCGUUUCAGACGGUCCCUGUGAAAGCCGCUGGUGCGCUGCAUCAUACAGCAGUUGAAUUGGAGUUGUUUUGGACACAGCCAUGCAGACGCCGCUGACCCUGCUGGCGCUGUUGUUGCUGCCGCUGAUGUUAUGCUGUUCCAGUCUCUCCUCAUUCAUCUGGUUCGCAAAGCCCUGACGCUGCGUAUGCGACCCCUGGUGCUGCUUCCCAUGCUUCAGUAACUUCUCCUCCAGCUUAUUGUUGGUGGGCGUGCAUCGGGGGCGGAUCCUCAAGUUUCCGGCGCUUCAGUCUCCACAUCCGGGCUUUCAGAGAGGGCUUUUGUUGUUGCUUUUGCCGGCCUUGCUUCUGCUGAUUGCUGUAGCUGCUGCCAUUGUGGGCUAGACCUGUUUCUGCUGCUGUUGUUGUGUCGUAGAGGGAGGAGCGCUGAUGAGGCGUCAGAUGCAGCAGCAAAUGGAGCCGUGAAAGCAGAAAUACCGCAGGCGCUAAAGCCCCCGGUUGGAAAGGAAGAAUGCGCCGCAGUCCCGCGUCUUCAACAGGAAUACGCCAGUUUGCCACGAGUGAUGAUCCUGCUUGCGGUUCCUUUGCUGCGGCAGUUUCUGCUUUUGGGGCAAACAUACACAGCAUGCUGUUCAAGGCGCUAUUCCGGCCACCGGAUUUACGACGCCCCGCUUCUGCGUAGGCAUACGCUGCCGGAUCCUCCAGUUAAUGGCGCUUCAAACCCCUAAUGCAGGGCUUCCGGAUUGGUGGACGUGGGCGGCAUGUUGUUCUUCACCCUGUCGUGCUUCUGCUCGGUGCCGUUUCUGGCCUUGCCGGGAUUAUUGCUGUCGCAUUAGGACGAAACGCCGGGAAAAUUUGUCGGUCCAGGACAAUUUGCCUGACCCCGAUCGAGGAGUCGGGUCGUCGGAGAAUGCCGAAAGGCUUCUGCUACAAAGUCUCUUCCUGCUGUUGCUGACGCUGUAUGCUGUUCCCGCUGCUCGCUAGUGAGUGCAUCGCCGCAUCAAGAUCUCGCUCAGCAUGGGGGAGCUGAUUAGCACGAUGCCGCAUAUAUGCCAUGAUGUGAGCUUCCCAUCUGUGGCUGGAGGGAAAAAAUCGCCGCAGUCCAGCGUCAUCUGCAUGAAGGCGCCGGUUGUCCAGGAAAGAGAUUUAAUCCAAUAGCUAAAGGGAAAGAAAAAACUAAUCCAUGCUUAUUUCUUUUUUUCCAGAGCGAGUCUCCAGGGGCCAAGCGAGGAGUCUGGUCGUCGGAAGUUGCCAGAUGGAAUCUGCUGCGAAACAUUAUGCUGCUGCUGCCAAUAUUGUUGUUGUUGCUGCAUGCUGGACUGCAUGCACCAUUGUUGCUGCAUGGCAAGCAUGUUGCCCCCGGUCAACCAGCUGAGCGUGAUUGAAAUGUUGCUGAUGACGCCGUCUCAUGGCCAAGCAUUGCAGGCAGUCCUCAUAAGCGCGACCGCCGCGUCGGCAUAACACCGCCAAAAGGACCGAUUGCUAAGAUGGACUCGGUCACGCAGGGGGCGCCGACCCUACUGCCGCUGUCGUUGUUGCUUUUGGGGCAAAAGCGCGCCUCACACUAGAGCCCCGCCUCCUCAGGAAGACCGGAUUUGCCAUGCCGGCGUUGGGCUCAGGGUCAUACAGGCCUACAGAAAUGGUGGGUGUGGGCGGCGAAAUGUUCAGCACACCACCAGGCCUCCUCCUCAACUGAUUCUGGUCUUGCUGCUGCUGUUGUUGCUGACUUGGUUGGAGCGCUGGUGUGUCGCCCAAUACGGCAGCAGAUGGAUCCAUAAGGAGCCAAUAAGGCGGAAAGACCGCAGUCGCAAGUCCCUCGGUUGGAAAGUAACGAUGGAUUUUCAAUAGCGUCAGGAGAAAUGAUUUGAGAGCGCAGCUUGUGCCAUGCAGGCAUAAUUAUUUUGUUAACCACAUUUUAACCGCCGAAUUGUUAUCGAUGUCCCGCGACGCGUUUCCCGGUAUUGUUGGCAUUAUCGGUAGCUGGUCCCACAACUCCUAGGCAAGAAGCGUGUGUAAAUUGUUGUCGUUGCUCACAACGCCGCUGCGGAGAUGCCAGCAUAUAACAGGCAACGGCCCAUCCGGACCGUCAACCCCAAUGCAUGCAUUCCAACUGUGGCUGGCGAAAAGCAUGCGGCGCAGUGUGACGUCAUCAACAGGAAGAAGCCGGUUGGCCAUCGGAUUGUCGAAUCAUUUGCCGGUCCAAUACGGUUUGGGCAGGGGCCAAGCUAGGAGUAUGCCAUCUGGCAGCUGCGGCAAAACAUUGCCUUCUGCUAAUUCCGCCGUUGCUGUUUUAGCUGCUAGUGAGUGUGUCACCGCCUACAUGAGCCCGAAGAGCCGAGGGCUGGCGCCAGUUUGCAUUUAUGAGCCGCUGCCGUUGCUGCUGCAGGCAUCGGAGAGGUGGGCAGCGUAGGCCUGCUUCCAUCUUCAGGCUGCUGUCCGUCGGAUGACCGUCGUCUUCUCCAUCUAACAAGCCCCUGUUACCGGCCAGGGCCAGGCGAGGAGUACGGGACGUCUGAAAGUGCCGAUGGUUUUUGCUGAGGAUCCAUUUCCUGCUAACGGUGCCGCUGGUGUUGUUGCUGCUGUUGCUGGGUGACAAGCCACUGUUUGCUGGCACGUGAUGAUUGACCAGGUGCCAAGAAGAAGUCAAGUCGCAGGGAAUUGUCAAAGGCCAAAAACACCCUCUGCUGCCGAUGCUGAGGGCAUCGGUGCUGAUGUUGCUGCUGCUGCACAGUGAGUCGUUCAGGAUUUACUGUUCUAAUUGCAUGGCAAGCCUGUUGCCGCCGGCCGAAAGGACGCGCAUAGGUGUCUCCAGUGUCUUCGCCCAGGCCUUCAGCCGGCUCCUUUUUUUUUUUUUUUUUUUUUUAAAUUUUCAACGCCUAAUAGACGCUGGCAUUUUUAUUGUACUCUGAUUUUUCUUUUUUAAAAAUAUAUAGUAACAAUUUAUGGCUUA